rnacentral:rRNA from 1 species
AACGAACGCUGGCGGCAUGCCUAACACAUGCAAGUCGAACGAGACCUCCGUGACUAGUGGCGCUUGGGUGCGUAACGCGUGGGAAGCUGCCCUUAGGUUCGGAAUAACUCCCCUACAGGGGUGCUAAUACCGGAUAAUGUCUUCUGACCAAAGAUGUAUCGCCGUUGGAUGGGCGCGCGUUGGUUUAGCCAGUUGGUAGGGUAAAAGCCUAUCAAGGCGUCGAUCGUUAGCUGGUCUGAGACGAUGAUCCGCGACACUGGGACUAAGACGCGGCCGAGAAUACUACGGGAGGCAGGAGAGGGGAAUAUAGGACAAUGGGGUAAGUCCUGAUCCAGCAAUGCCGCGUGAGUGAUGAUGGUGUUAGGGAAGUGAAGCUCUUUUACACGGGACGAUAAUGACAGUACCGGGAGAAUAAGCACCGGCUAACUCCGUG